CUGAAUGGCUAAUCUAGAACCUGGCUAAUUGACAGAAAAUUUCCAUCCUUGUGAUAAAACACAUCUAGAUUUUUGUGCUGACAGAAGCAUGGCUUGCAGACAAAGAUAUCUGUCCUGAGAUUUAAAAAAAACACUUGCUCAUAGGGGGCCUGAGAGCAAUAUACCCGUGACAGCAAAGUUAACUUGAACUCAAAACUAGCCCGAGACAGGGAAACCCUCCAAUUACCGAAAGGCUUAACCCACCCCAUAUCUCUAUGUGAAAAUGGACCUGCCAUCAUCCAUUAUAUUUGAAAUCUACAGAACUACCAUCUAUAUCAAGAUAUACAGACUUUAGACUUCCUUUGUAUUCAGGUAUCGCAGAAUCACAUUGACCUUUAUUGGGUAACAGAAAGAUUUGACCUGCCUCUGCAAUCUGCCCAUGUGAAAUACAUAUGCUGAGCAUUACUAGUGGCUGCAGCAGUGGAGCCUUUGUUCAGGAGAACUUUGCAAAUGAAACUCAAUUAAUCCCUGAAGCUCAAACACAAAGUAAUAAACUUGCCUUUAAUUUUGCAGUGAUAGGCAGCUUGCUUUUCAAAGAAGGCAGAUGACUUUAAUUGCAAAGGUGCCCCUUUAUUUGGACUUCAACAACUUCAGAGCCAAGUUAAAAACCACAGCUGCUUCUUAUUAGAUGCUUAACAUCUGAUCACAAGCCAUUUAAUAUUUUGCUAAUAUUCUUCUGCUGGUUAGAUUGAUUUGAUAGAACAUGUGGUUUGUUUGAAAAUUUUCAAACCAAAGUAUUUUUAAUAGACUUCAAAGGAUUUUAAGAACUAAAUGAUUAGUGUGUUUAUAUUACUAUUCAGAACCAGAAAUAAUUACAUUACUGGAAAAAUAAUAAAAAGAGCUUAAUAUUCUCAUAUGGCGAUUUCAGAUAAAUAAUUACUUUAGUUUCCUGUUCCUUGGCAGUCUGUGGAACGAAACAGAGUAAUGAAUUGUAAUAGAUCAUAGGUAUGCAACUAGUAUUUAUUGAAAUCAACAGUAAUAAACUACACAUUUGUAUAAUUAGUUUACCAGAACCAUUUUCUCCAUUUAUCUCAUUUCUAAUGGCUUUUGACUUUAUAGCUUUUGUAUGGUUCCUGAUCAUUAGCAGUUAUACUGCUGAUAUACUGGGAUCUUACAUACAGUAGCUGAGUGCUUUCAAUGCCUGAAGAAAAGACUGGUGGUUGAAAAGCAUCAGAUCAAAAGCUUGUCCCAUUGAGAAAAGUCAACAAAGUGUUGAAGCUAAUACAAGUAUGGAUCAUUUUCAGGGAUGCAGAUGUAUAUUGCAGAAUAUACAGUACAGCAGGUAGCUUGUUAAAAUUUCAUCUCUAUAUUGCCCAAUUAGGGAGAAUAUACUUGUUUUCUUUGAAAUGUAUCAAGGAAACUCUUUGCUACCAUUGUGCUGGUCUCCAAGUUGAAGGACAACACACAAAUUGCAACAUGCUGUUCACACCUCAGAACAUUUCAAUUAAUCUCCUACCAAGCUGAGCUUGCAGGAAAUAGUACACCAAAAAUGCAAAUUUCCAUAGUUUUUGUUAAAUUUCCUGUUGCAAUGUCACUAAAUAGAAAAAGAAGGGGAUAUUUACAGCUUCAAUCAGCUCCCACUUCCCAUUACUGAUGCACAAAGUACCUCAAUAGGGAAAAAAAAUGUCUUCUAGAUUGGAUUGCAUCCCCAUUCUUAACAGCAAAAUAGAUACAAGUUCACUUCAGUUGCAAUAAUGUGUUGCUUGUGUAAUGCAUUUUUUUGAUGUUUGUUCAAAGCUAAUUAAUAAAUUGUAAUUGAUAGCGCAACCUAAGAAGACAGAUUGCUGCUCUACCACAAGUAAUGUUUUUCUUUCCUGACUGUUUUACGUGCAAUAGAUGGAACUUUUUUCAUACAUUAACCAUUUGACAGUUGUGAUUGAAUUCACGGUCUUUUCCCAAAUAAAAUGUAUUGGCUUGUUGACUUUAUUCAGGAAAUGGAAUCAAUAGCUUAUAGUUUUGAAAUCUAUGAAAUAACAUUCAACAUUAGAAAUUUGCUGAAAAGACAUUCUGGUAUGUACUAUAUUAAAGAAUACUUUUCUGUUUUAAAAUUAACAACAGAGUCUGAUGAUCGAGGCUUCAUAGCUUGUAAUAAGCAGAUGAGCGGGGGUGAGCUGUCUCCUUUUCUUAAGCCUCCUCAAUUGAUUACAACAACAUUUUGAGUUUAUAUUAAUACAAGGAUAUUCCUUUCUCCAAUUAAAACAGUGUUAAUUAUUUUUACUGUAAGCAAUAAGGCCCCAAUCACAAGAUUUUUCAUUAAAGAAAUAAAUCUUGCUCUCUGUCAAAUCCGAGAAAACUAAGAACAAUAACAUGAAGUGUAUGACCUUCAUGUGUGGUCACUAGGGAUCUCAAAAAUACACAAAGUUAAAAGGAGAUAGUGCUGGAGGAGGUGUCCUUGAGAUAUAACUGGUUCCAAUUGUAUUUUCAAAUCAUUCUUUUCAGGUCUGUCUAUGGUGUCAUUGUCUAGUAAUCUACAUUUGUUAAUGUCUUUCUUAGAUUAUAACAGAUUUUGAUGGAUCUGGAUUGUACUGAGUCACCCUUUCCACAGACCACCCAACCUCUGAGGAUGAUUAAUUGGUUCCCUCACCUACACCUUGAGGUGGAGUUGGAUUUUUAAGUAGUUUGCAUUGUCACAAUUCAAUUCCCAUCAGUUCUAACCAGUUGAAACUUUUGAAAAUGAUGUCUUCAAAUACAAAGGGAUGUAGCCUCCUGACAAGUUAUUUUCUCUUAUUCAAGCCUCUUUGCUCUCAUGUAUUCGCAAUUAAUUAUUAACUUUAUUUCUGCUACUCCACAAAAACCUGGUCCCAAUUUUAUUCCUACAAUAAGAAAUAUAUCUCUCCCAUUCCUUCAUCUUUCAUCUGUUAACAGGAAGAUGCAACCAUUAGUAUAAAACAGUGUAGUUGCUAAUUGCUAUAUAAAUCAAUGAGUAUGGUGAUCUACUCAGCAGUUGGAUUCCAUUUAUAACUUGUUGUUUUCUAGUGUAAAAACAGCACUUGUUAUUUGGGAUGCUCACUUUUAAGAAUAGCCAUGGAAAAUGAUCACAACUACAUAUAAAUUCAAUGAUGUAAAUUCUGUUUAUCUUAAAAAUCAAGCAUCCCAUCACUUGCAAAUUAAAUAUAUAAGUCAUGUUUGA